AGCGCAGGCGGUUCCUUAAGUCUGAUGUGAAAGCCCACGGCUCAACCGUGGAAGGUCAUUGGAAACUGGGGGAACUUGAGUGCAGAAGAGGAGAGUGGAAUUCCAUGUGUAGCGGUGAAAUGCGUAGAUAUAUGGAGGAACACCAGUGGCGAAGGCGACUCUCUGGUCUGUAACUGACGCUGAGGCUCGAAAGCGUGGGGAGCAAACA
rnacentral:rRNA from 1 species